rnacentral:lncRNA from 12 species
AGUAUUCAAGGUAGAAGAUUCCUUCUCAGUCAAAAGCAAAGAAAUAUCAGGUCAAUUCAAGGACUGCAUCUACAAGGUCAAAAGGAAGGAUCUGCUGCAUAGAGAACCUGAACCCAGAGAGCCUAAAA